AUUAACCCGGCAGCGAGUGAUUUAUGAACCAACACUCACUGACAGGGGAGCAUCCUGCAGCACAGUGUUGUGCAAGCCCACCCUUGAGUGGGAAGCCUGAACUGUCUCAUCCGCCCCCCACUUGAACCCCAGGGUUCAAAAUCUUGGCCUGUCGGGCUGCUU
rnacentral:other from 1 species